AAUCAACGCUGGCGGCGUGCCUAACACAUGCAAGUCGAACGCGAAAGGGGCUUCGGCCCUGAGUAGAGUGGCAGACGGGUGAGUAACGCGUGGGUGACCUACCCUCGAGCGGGGGAUAACGUCCCGAAAGGGACGCUAAUACCGCAUGACAUCCUGCCCUUGGACGGGCGGUGAUCAAAGCUGGGGAUCGCAAGACCUGGCACUUGAGGAGGGGCCCGCGUCCGAUUAGCUAGUUGGUGGGGUAAUGGCUCACCAAGGCUUCGAUCGGUAGCCGGCCUGAGAGGGCGGACGGCCACACUGGGACUGAGACACGGCCCAGACUCCUACGGGUGGCUG
rnacentral:rRNA from 1 species